rnacentral:rRNA from 1 species
GACGAACGCUGGCGGCGUGCUUAACACAUGCCAGUCGAACGGAAAGGCCCCUUUUGGGGUACUCGCGUGGCGAACGGGUGAGUAACACGUGCGUAACCUGCCCUUGACUUCGUGAUAACUUCAGUCAACUGGGUCUAAUACCGGAUAGGAAUCCUUGCUUCAUGGUUGGGGUUGGAAAGCUUCUGCGGGUUUGGAUGGACUCGCGGCUUAUCAGCUUGUUGGUGGGGUAGUUGCUUACCAAGGCUUUGACGGGGAGCCGGCCUGAGAGGGCGAACGGCCAAAAUGGGAAUGGGGUAAGGCCCAGAAUCCUAAGGGAGGCAGGAGUGGGGAAUAAUGCAAAAUGGGCGGAAGGCUGAUGGAGCAACGCCGCGUGCGGGAAGAAGGGCUUCGGGUUGUAAACCGGUUUCAGCAGGGGAGAAGCUUGUGGUGACGGUACCUGCAGAAGAAGCACCGGCUAACUACGUG